AUGUUAAGACAGGUAGUUUUCUUUUGCAACUCCAAUUAAAGCGUGAAGAAUGUUGGGAUAGGUCAGUUUUGUUUUGAAACCCUAAUUAUAGCGUGAAGAAAUUCUAAUAGACAACCUAAGUAUUGACGUCACAGUGAUGGGCGGACCUUCUACCGACCCCAAACAUUUUGGUUCCUAACUGUGUUGCUAACUGUAAAUUGACAUAAUGCAAUUGAAGAGCCUGGUGCAAGAAUGAGAUAAGUAACAAUAUGUAAAUAGUUCAGUAAAGAUGAUUUGAUUUGUAUAAAUAAGAAUGACAAUUAUAUCUGAGCAAAUGUCAGUUUUUCAAUAUAUUGUGAAAUCAUAGUAAAAAAACAAAUUGUGGUGCAAGAAGGAAUAUAAUAUAUGUGAAUGCAUAUUUCUUUUUUUUUGGGAAAGGUUGGAGAAAGGAUCAAAUAACAUUCAAAACUUUUUAUUAUUUAAAAAAAGGCGAGGAAACACUUUUAUCAAACAAAAUAAACAAAACAAUUUUUAACAACACGUAAAAAAUAUCAAAAAUCGUCCUCAGAAGAGCUACUGACAGCUCUGCAGAAGCCAAUGAAUCGGAUGUGAGUUUUUUGAAGCACAAUAAAACUCUCUUCUUCAUUUUCUAUUCCUUCUAAAGACUUUUCCUUAAAAUCGCUAUAAAACAACUCAGCGUUUUGGAGGUGUGUUUGAGCUUUUCCUUUACAAAACUGCCUGUACUAAGAUAUGUUGCAUUUUAUGUGGUGCAUAGUAGUGUCAUAACUAUGGUUAAUGCAUUCAUAUAUUACGAGUUAUAUAAAAUUCUCGGUAUGUAUUGAAAUAGUAAAAAAAACAUAUAACGGGGUUGGGUGUAGUUGGUGUUAUAUGAGAUAAAUUGUAUUUAACAUAAUUUAGUUAAUGUUAGGUUAAUUUUUGGUAAAUGUUCUUUCCAUGAACUUAGCAAUCUGAAAUAUCAGUUAUAAGCGCAAAGGCUCUGAAAGUGAAAAUGAAAGCGUCCGAUCAGAUCCUCACUCAUUUGUAAAUCAUUACGCGAACGUUAAUGAUACGCUUCGACAGUCAUGGAAGCGUCAAAAACCGGUUCGUAAUUAUUCCAGUUACACGGAUUCCGAACCGGAAGGAAGUGCAGUUGUAAGUUUGAACGGUGGUCAAAUUAUAAUGAAUAAUAUGGCACGAUCUCGAGCGCCUUUACCCGGAUUUUCAUCGUUCGUUUAAAUAAUUAGUUAGAAAAAACGAUUUAACCUUAAUUAUUGAGUAAAGAAUAAUUAUGAUUUAAUCAAGUAAAAAAUAUAUAAUAGUUUAACCUUCCAAUACACGCGCCAAUACAAAAUAUCAAUGGACGCCGGUUAUACCAAUUUUAUUAUUUAUUUUUUUGUAUUAAAUCUCUGAAGACUCUUAGAACUAAUAAAGUUUUCAGACGCAUGGCUAUACCUUAAACUUUCUAGUUCUAGGUCUAGUGGUAGUUCUAGUUUUACACUAGCACUGUUACUAGAACUAGCAUUAGAUCUAGAACUACAAGCAUUUGGGUUUAGCCAUACGUCUCUAACGUUAGAUAAAUCUAGUUUAGCUGUGCGUCUUCAAACAACAAUAUAUUAGUGCGCGUGUAUUGAAACGUUAAUUAUUAUUGAAAAUGUGAUUUAUAAAUUGAAUAAAUAAAAUUAUUUAGGUUAAAAAUGUUUGAAGACUUAAAUUUUAAUUAAAAAAUGAUGAAAUAUAAAAGACUUUUUAAUAAAAAAAGUUAAGAUCUAUAUUAUCACGUGUAAAUACUUUCAUAUUAUGAUAGAGUUUUGUAUAUAAUCUUAUAGCGGUUAGUAUUUAGGAAGAUACAAAAAA